rnacentral:lncRNA from 1 species
CCCAAAACUCCCCAAUUCCCCCCAAAACCCCCCAAACCCCCCAAAAUCCCCCCAAAAACCAGAAACCCCUCAAAACCCCAAAAAGCCCCCAAAUCACCCCAACCCCCCCCCAGGACGCGGGAGGUGCCAGGGGAGCUCUUUGACUACGAGGCCGUGCACAACAUCGACCCCCUGGGCACCGACUUCUGCGUCCGCUUCCGCGAGGGCAUGCGGCACUGGAACAUGACCGUGCAGUGGUGGCUGGCACACUACAUCCACCGCCGCGCCCCCCGCAGCCCCCCCCGUGCUGAGGAGCGCCUGCACCAUGCUGGUCUCGGCCUACUGGCACGGGCUGCACCCCGGCUACUACCUGAGCUUCCUGAGCGUGCCGCUGUGGCUGGCGGCCGAGCGGGCGGCCGAGAAGGCCCUGGGGGGGCUGCUGGCCCCGGGGGGGCCACCGCUGGCCCGCGGCCUGCAGUGGUUCCUGAAGAUGCGCGCCUACGACUACCUCUGCAUGGGCUUCGUGCUGCUGGGCGCCCGCCACACGCUGCGCUACUGGGCCUCCGUCGGCUUCUGCCUCCACCUCCUGCCCCUCCUCAUCCUCGCCGCCGCUGCCGUGGCGGGGCCACGCCAGAAAGUGGCCCAAAAGUGAGGGAAAGUGGCCCAAAAGUGAGGGAAAGUGGCCCAAGAUGGACCCCCAAGGGACGCAAAACACCACAAAAUGGACUCCAAAGGGACACAAAACAACACAAAAGGGACACAAAACACCACAAAAUGGACUCCAAAAUGCCCCAAAA